rnacentral:lncRNA from 1 species
AACCUCUGCCCUCCAGGUUCAAAGGAUUUUCCUGCCUCAGCCUCCUGAGUAGCUGGAAUUACGGCUUCAGAUCCAAAUGGUAUGCUAGCAUUCUCUUCCUAGCAGUCCACUGUCAAGACUUCACUGUUAGAAGAAGAAUCACACCAGAAUUAAGGUCAAAUGGAUUAUCUUAUUCUUAAUUGCUGAAAAUCACACCUCAUUGAAAUUUGCUUCAUAACUGAACCAUGAAUUUUUCAUCAAACAUACUUUUGUGUUUCUCCUCCUGGCAUUCUUUAUGAGGAACUUCUUUUUGGAGCUCACUGACUUCCUGUUCUAAUUUGGUCCAGUUAUUUUCUAGAAUUGCUACAUGACUGUCAUCCUGGGACAUCCUUCUGUUGGAAUCUGGGAGAGCUUACAACUUUUCAUAUCCUCUCUUCUUCUUUGUGUUUUUCACCCUGAAGUGUACAAAGUCAAAUGAAUUUCCUAG